UGGGACAAAAGAUGCAGCUCAGCAGCUGACAGCAAGAGCGAGAAAGAAGAGGGAGGAAAAGCUCGUUUCGAGCUGAGUCGAGGCCAUGUGAAGAAGAGCUGUCACUUGCAACUCCUGAUGCACCGUGGGGCAGAUGAUGCCGGAUCUGCAGAUGGGGUUUUGGAUCUUGAAUUGGCCGAGACCACGUGGACCUCUCUUGCUCUUCUUCAGCACCCGGUUUUGCUGCAAGCCAGCGACCGAGGACUGAGCCCCAUCGCUCUGCUCCAUUACCAACCUCAUCUUUUUGCUGCCACGAAGACGACACUCCUCGAGCUCGAGCUAUGAGUGACAUCUGAGCUUCUCAUUCGUCACUUGCUCUUCUUACUCAUCGGUAGUUUGCUUUAGUCGAUUGCUUCGACUUUGGUUUGAAACCACAGGUAUUCGCUCGAGUCUAUAGGAUUUGGAGAAGAACAGAGACAUCAAAAUCAGAUUACAGAACUCGAUGUAGUGCUGCACUCCGCACGAUGUAAUGUUCAAACAAGCUCUCAUGUAUGCCUCCUUUUUUA